rnacentral:rRNA from 1 species
GUGGGGAAUAUUGGACAAUGGGCGAAAGCCUGAUCCAGCCAUGCCGCGUGUGUGAAGAAGGUCUUCGGAUUGUAAAGCACUUUAAGUUGGGAGGAAGGGUAGUAAGUUAAUACCUUGCUGUUUUGACGUUACCAACAGAAUAAGCACCGGCUAACUUCGUGCCAGCAGCCGCGGUAAUACGAAGGGUGCAAGCGUUAAUCGGAAUUACUGGGCGUAAAGCGCGCGUAGGUGGUUCAGCAAGUUGAAGGUGAAAUCCCCGGGCUCAACCUGGGAACUGCCUCCAAAACUACUGAGCUAGAGUACGGUAGAGGGUAGUGGAAUUUCCUGUGUAGCGGUGAAAUGCGUAGAUAUAGGAAGGAACACCAGUGGCGAAGGCGACUACCUGGACUGAUACUGACACUGAGGUGCGAAAGCGUGGGGAGCAAACAGGAUUAGAAACCCCAGUAGUCC